rnacentral:rRNA from 1 species
GAUGAACGCUGGCGGCGUGCCUAACACAUGCAAGUCGAGCGAGAAGCUUAUGACUGAUACUUCGGUUGAGAGAUUAAGUGGAAAGCGGCGGACGGGUGAGUAACGCGUAGGCAACCUGCCCUUUGCAGAGGGAUAGCCUCGGGAAACCGGGAUUAAAACCUCAUGACACUGUGUAUCCGCAUGGAUAGACGGUCAAAGAUUUAUCGGCAAAGGAUGGGCCUGCGUCUGAUUAGUUAGUUGGUGGGGUAACGGCCUACCAAGGCGACGAUCAGUAGCCGACUUGAGAGGGUGAACGGCCACAUUGGGAACUGAGACACGGUCCAAACUCCUACGGGAGGCAGCAGUGGGGAAUAUUGCACAAUGGGGGAAACCCCUGGGUAGCAGCAACGCCGCGUGAGCGAAGAAGGCCUUU